GAUGAACGCUGGCGGCGUGCCUAAUACAUGCAAGUCGAGCGAACGGACGAGAAGCUUGCUCCUCUGAUGUUAGCGGCGGACGGGUGAGUAACACGUGGAUAACCUACCUAUAAGACUGGGAUAACUUCGGGAAACCGGAGCUAAUACCGGAUAAUAUUUUGAACCGCAUGGUUCAAAAGUGAAAGACGGUUCUGCUGUCACUUAUAGAUGGAUCCGCGCUGCAUUAGCUAGUUGGUAAGGUAACGGCUUACCAAGGCAACGAUGCAUAGCCGACCUGAGAGGGUGAUCGGCCACACUGGAACUGAGACACGGUCCAGACUCCUACGGGAGGCAGCAGUAGGGAAUCUUCCGCAAUGGGCGAAAGCCUGACGGAGCAACGCCGCGUGAGUGAUGAAGGUCUUCGGAUCGUAAAACUCUGUUAUUAGGGAAGAACAUAUGUGUAAGUAACUGUGCACAUCUUGACGGUACCUAAUCAGAAAGCCACGGCUAACUACGUG
rnacentral:rRNA from 1 species